GUCCCUAGCUCCAGAUUUAGCCCUUCAUGAUUGAGCAGAUUACUGAGGCCCACCUCCGCCUCUUUCCUCCUCUGUCAAACCAAAGAGCUGCUCCUGAAACAAAGUCUGAAGAUUCUUUGAGAACUGAAUUGACAUGUAGCCCCUUGGUUGUCCCCUUCUGUAGGCUCUCCAGUAUUUACCCAUCUCCAAAGCUCUGAGUGUAGCUGUUGACGAAGUCCCUGAGGUUGGUCAGGAAAAUGAAGUUUCCUGUUGAUGACACUGACCCUGACAUCCAGGGUUCUGCAUCUCCAGACUCUACGAAUGCCAGUGUUUCAGGGCCAAUGAGAACAGAAACUGCUUUCGUUCUGCCCCAACACACAACAGAAACAGAAGAACUGAAACCUCAGCUGAGGCUUCUGCUCUCGCAUUUCAGUAUCUCUUAUGACGUGGAAGAGCUGAGCGAUGCUUCUAAGGAGACAGAACUUUUUGCCUUGGUUUCCCCAAAAUUUCAAAGCAUCUUCAUGGAACAACAGAGAAUGCAAACGUUUCCAGACUAUAAUGCUGGGAUAGCUAAAGUGGAAAAUUUGAAUUUGGCAGGACCUCGUAGGGCCUUGAAAAAGGGAGCCAACUGGACUUCCUUUAUAAAGAUUAAGCCAAAAUGUGAUCCUUGGCAAAAGAAGCUUUUGACCAAACUAAAAGAACGGAGAAGAAUAGAUGUAUUAAUGCAACUCCAAGCAAAGUUUUUGAAGAUUUCCAAUCCUGAGCGAGUAAUGCAAGUGCUCCAGGAUCAUGCUGCAAAGACAGUCUUGCUGGCUUCAUCUCAUCCAACAUGUGUGGCUUCCCAGGGCAACUAUGACCAAAUCUGGGAGACUAUUUAUAGCAACAUCAACCUCUACCAGGUACAACAGGAAGAAAUAACCAAUAUGCCUUUCUGUUCAACUCACCACCUGUUUAUAGACCUUAGAAAUUUACUUUGGUAGGUUUUUAGAGAUCCUCCCCCAAAAGAGGAAUAUAAAGAAGUAUAAUACAAUAUAUUCUUGCUACCAAGGUUUAUACUCAAGGGAUAAGUACCAAUGCAGAGUUGCGCACUCUAGUGCUGAAUACUAGUGAGUUGGACAUGGCUCAGAUGGUAAAGCAUCUGCCCACAACUCAGGAGACCCGGGGUUCAAUCCCUGGUUGGGAAGAUCCCCUGGAGAAGGAAAUGGCAACCCACUCCAGUAUUCUUGCCUGGAAAAUCCCAUGGACGAGCCUGGUAGGAGAAAUCUUUUCCUAUAGUCCAUGGGGUUGCAAAGAGUCGACCAUAACUGAGUGACUUUACUUUCACUUUCACUGUCUUUAAAUAUUGUGAGUGUUUACAGGGAAUGUGGUCUUCACAGGGUUGGUUCUAUUGGGGGAAAUCUCUUGAAGGAGGAGGAAAUUGAGCUGGGCUUGAAGGAAGCAAACUUUCUGCCUUAGUCUCAUUCAGCACAUGUGGCUUCCCAGGGCAACUAUGACCAAAUAUGGGAGAUUUGGUCAUAAAUAUAUAGCAACAUCAACCUCCACCAGGUACAACAGGAAGAAAUAACCAAUAUGCCUUUCUGUUCACCUCACCAUCUGUUUAUAGACCUUAGAAAUUUUCUUUGAGCCACUAGAGACUUCCCUGCUGGCUCAGAUGGUGAAGCGUCUGCCUACAAGGCAGGAGAUCCAGGUUAGUCCCUGGGUUGGAAAGAUCUCCUGGAGAAGGAAACGGCAACCCACUCCAGUAUUCUUGCCUGGAAAAUCCCAUGGAUGGUGGAACCUGGUAGGCUACAGUCCAUGGGGUCACAAAGAGGCAGACAUGACUGAGCAACUUCACUUUCACUUUCUGAAGGAAGCAUGAGGCUUAGGAAAGUGGUAGCGGAGAAGGAAGUAGGCAGCCUAUUCUAGAAGAGAAACUUGAACAACAAUGCAGAGGAGAUACUGUAUAUGGAGUGUUCAAGCUCAGUUGGGUUGACUGGAAGA
rnacentral:lncRNA from 1 species